CGAUAAUGUGCAAGCGACAGGCUUCGUCGAGCACCUGAAACUUCCUCACUACGUGGACUUCCAGUCCGAACUCGGCCUGCUGCGGAAACUGCGCAAGGAAUUCGAGGCUGCCAAGGACAGCGACGUUUUGCUGGCGGAGGCCGCCGAAUGAAUGCGCCCGUCUAUAACUUCGCGUACCUCGAUGAGCAGACCAAGCGGAUGAUCCGCCGCGCGAUCCUCAAAGCAAUCGCCAUUCCAGGCUAUCAGGUGCCGUUUGCCAGCCGCGANNNNNNNNNNNNNUGGGGCACCGGCGGCGUGCAGGUGACGGCGGCGAUCCUCGGCCGCGAGGAUACCCUGAAG
rnacentral:misc_RNA from 1 species